rnacentral:rRNA from 1 species
AUUGAACGCUGGCGGCAUGCCUUACACAUGCAAGUCGAACGGCAUCGCGGGAAAGCUUGCUUUCCUGGCGGCGAGUGGCGAACGGGUGAGUAACACAUCGGAACGUACCGGCUAGUGGGGGAUAACCCGUCGAAAGACGGGCUAAUACCGCAUACGCUCUUCGGAGGAAAGCAGGGGACCUUUGGGCCUUGCGCUAGUCGAGCGGCCGAUGUCCGAUUAGCUAGUUGGUGGGGUAAAGGCCUACCAAGGCGACGAUCGGUAGCGGGUCUGAGAGGACGAUCCGCCACACUGGGACUGAGACACGGCCCAGACUCCUACGGGAGGCAGCAGUGGGGAAUCUUGGACAAUGGGGGCAACCCUGAUCCAGCAAUGCCGCGUGGGUGAAGAAGGCCUUCGGGUUGUAAAGCCCUUUCGGCAGGGAAGAAAUCGGCGGGGCGAAUAACCCUGCUGGAUGACGGUACCUGCAGAAGAAGCACCGGCUAACUACGUA